rnacentral:rRNA from 1 species
GACGAACGCUGGCGGCGUGCCUAAUACAUGCAAGUCGAGCGGACGAAUCGAAAGCUUGCUUUUGAUUCGUUAGCGGCGGACGGGUGAGUAACACGUGGGCAACCUGCCCUGUAGACGGGGAUAACACCGAGAAAUCGGUGCUAAUACCGGAUAACACGAAAUGUCGCAUGACGCUUCGUUGAAAGACGGCGCAAGCUGUCGCUACAGGAUGGGCCCGCGGCGCAUUAGCUAGUUGGUGAGGUAACGGCUCACCAAGGCGACGAUGCGUAGCCGACCUGAGAGGGUGAUCGGCCACACUGGGACUGAGACACGGCCCAGACUCCUACGGGAGGCAGCAGUAGGGAAUCUUCCGCAAUGGACGAAAGUCUGACGGAGCAACGCCGCGUGAGCGAAGAAGGCCUUCGGGUCGUAAAGCUCUGUUGUUAGGGAAGAACAAGUAACGCAGUAACUGGCGUUACCGUGGCGGUACCUAACGAGAAAGCCACGGCUAACUACGUG